GAUGAACGCUGGCGGCGUGCCUAAUACAUGCAAGUCGAGCGAACAGACGAGGAGCUUGCUCCUCUGACGUUAGCGGCGGACGGGUGAGUAACACGUGGAUAACCUACCUAUAAGACUGGGAUAAUUUCGGGAAACCGGAGCUAAUACCGGAUAAUAUAUUGAACCGCAUGGUUCAAUAGUGAAAGACGGUUUUGCUGUCACUUAUAGAUGGAUCCGCGCCGCAUUAGCUAGUUGGUAAGGUAACGGCUUACCAAGGCAACGAUGCGUAGCCGACCUGAGAGGGUGAUCGGCCACACUGGAACUGAGACACGGUCCAGACUCCUACGGGAGGCAGCAGUGUGGAAUCUUCCGCCAUUGGCGAAAGCCUGACGUAGCAACGCCGCGUGAGUGAUGAUGGUCUUCGGAUCGUAAAACUCUGUUAUUAGGGAAGAACAAAUGUGUAAGUAACUAUGCACGUCUUGACGGUACCUAAUCAGAAAGCCACGGCUAACUCCGUG
rnacentral:rRNA from 1 species